CAGUCGCCAGCGGGAAUACGGAGGGUGCAAGCGUUAAUCGGAAUUACUGGGCGUAAAGCGCACGCAGGCGGUCUGACAAGUCAGAUGUGAAAUCCCCGGGCUUAACCUGGGAACUGCAUUUGAAACUGUCAGGCUGGAGUCUUGUAGAGGGGGGUGGAAUUCCAGGUGUAGCGGUGAAAUGCGUAGAGAUCUGGAGGAAUACCGGUGGCGAAGGCGGCCCCCUGGACAAAGACUGACGCUCAGGUGCGAAAGCGUGGGGAGCAAACAGGAUUAGAUACCCCUGUAGUCCCUGUCUCUUAUA
rnacentral:rRNA from 1 species